rnacentral:rRNA from 1 species
GGAUGCAAUCAUACCAGCACUAAAGCACCGGAUCCCAUCAGAACUCCGUAGUUAAGCGUGCUUGGGCGAGAGUAGUACUAGGAUGGGUGACCUCCUGGGAAGUCCUCGUGUUGCAUUCC